rnacentral:rRNA from 1 species
ACGCACGCUGGCGGCAUGCCUCACCCCUGCCAGUCGAACGAGACCUUCGGGUCUAGUGGCGCGCGGGUGCGUAACGCGUGGGAACCUGCCCUUAGGUUCGGAAUAACUCCCCGAAAGGGGUGCUAAUACCGGAUAAUGUCUUCGGACCAAAGAUUUAUCGCCUUUGGAUGGGCCCGCGUUGGAUUAGCUAGUUGGUAGGGUAAAAGCCUACCAAGGCGACGAUCCAUAGCUGGUCUGAGAGGAUGAUCAGCCACACUGGGACUGAGACACGGCCCAGACUCCUACGGGAGGCAGCAGUGGGGAAUAUUGGACAAUGGGCGAAAGCCUGAUCCAGCAAUGCCGCGUGAGUGAUGAAGGCCUUAGGGUUGUAAAGCUCUUUUACCCGGGAUGAUAAUGACAGUACCGGGAGAAUAAGCUCCGGCUAACUCCGUG